GAUCUGCUGUAUGCAGAGAGACUCUCCUUCGCUCCCAGGCAGGUGGUUUAGGCAGUAAGAGAGACCUGCAGGGAAUCCAGACUUAAUCAGGGGAGAAAUCCUCCAUACAAGUCAGAAAGAAAGGCCUGGCUGGACCUACCUGCAAUGAGGUCCAGGGGAAAAACCUUUAAGAAGGGUGUAAUGGAUUGGUGAGCUGAGGAGGGGUAUAAUGGACUGGCGAAUCUCCAGGAUACAGCUGAAAACAUCAAGCCUUGGGUUGAGCUGUUGUUUUAUAUGAAUAACCCCCUUCCCAGAAGGGGAGAGUAAUGCCAAAGCACUGGAUGUUGUUUGGGUUCUUUUUGGCUGUGGAAGUGGGGAAACUGAGGCAGCAUCUGGCUCCAAUUCAGCAGGAGAUCUGCAAACUGAGGCAGAAAUGAUAAAUGACUUGCCCAAGGUCGCAGAAGUUGAGAGGUCAGUGUCAAGAUAAGAAGUUGGAAGAAGGACUGCUAGCUGGAGACUUCUCAGACUGAUAAACACAACCUUCUGAAGCAUAGUGAAAGAUAGGGGGGUGUGCUUAUGGUGGUGAUCUGGACCAACACCUGCUCCCACUUAUCCUGGUGUAAAUCUGGAGUAACUCCAUUGGUUUGAACAGAUAUAAUGGAGAGCAGGAUUGGGCACAUUGAGUCUGUAUCCUUUGCAAAAAAGACAAAACAGAAGCUUACAGUAAAAGCUUAUUAGCGCUGUAACAAUUCACAUGCAAAACCUGUCUGAGUUCAGGGUCAUACAGUCUUUUCAAAGGCUGUCAUUCAGACAUUUUUCAAAACGAAUCUGUCUAAUCCACUCUAUCUAAUUUACCUAAUCCAACUAGCUACUUCCCUGAUGUUGUUUGAGCAUCACAUGCUCAGAUCCUUGUUGUGUCAGCCUCAUUUUAAAAUGUUCUAGUGCCCCAGGAAGGGGAGCAGGCAGGUAUAUUUUCUAUCUUCCUACCGCAGAGCAGCCAGCGUACAUGAACUAGCUACCCUUUGCAUAAGUGGCUUAGCUGAACGUUUGCUGGGUGAAAUUCACCCUUCUGCAGAGGACCAGCAUAAAGUCCCUGCCCUUCUUAAGACCUCAAGAUAGGAAUUAAGUAGGAUUUAAGCCUUGUGACAGGCUUCUGCAGAGUGCCAAUUUUCACCCUUUGAGUGGUACUUUUGCUCCUAACGCCAUCCCGGUGAAAUGAAUGGAACUGCUUAGUGAGCAAGGUGCUACUCACCAUGAGCAAGGAUGGCAGACUCUGUCCCUUAGUUUGCUUUGCUUAAUCUCUUGGUGCAUUGAUUGCUGCAGGCUGUGAUAGCCAAUGGCAAGAAAACAGUGACAACCUCUACGCCAAUCCUGGAAAGCCCUGCUUGUAAGGUACUGCUGUUGAGAUCUGCUGGAGUUCUAAAUGUGACAUUCUUGCAGGAUCAUACCCUUUGUUAGUAAAGGACUCCAGUUUUAUUUGAACCUUUGGUAGUAGGAGAGGAGGUAGAAUUUUCUGUGCCAGGGAAUGGACUUGGGUGAAAGUCGGGAAAAUAUGGUUAGGUUGGGCAGAGGAAAGACAUAUGGAAGAUGGUCUGUGGAGGCUCUCCAGGUUUCAGAUGAAGAAUUCAGACUCCUGGUAAUUAUCCAAAAUAAACUUCUGAAACUCUUAA